rnacentral:rRNA from 1 species
AUUGAGCGCUGGCGGCAUGCCUUACACAUGCAAGUCGAACGGCAGCACGGGAGAAUCCUGGUGGCGAGUGGCGAACGGGUGAGUAAUAUAUCGGAACGUGCCCAGUCGUGGGGGAUAACGUAGCGAAAGCUACGCUAAUACCGCAUACGGUCGAUGGAUGAAAGCGGGGGAUCGCACGACCUCGCGCGAUUGGAGCGGCCGAUAUCAGAUUAGGUAGUUGGUGGGGUAAAGGCUCACCAAGCCGACGAUCUGUAGCUGCUCUGGGAGGACGACCAGCCACGCUGGGACUGAGGCACGGCCCAGACUCCUACGGGAGGCAGCAGUGGGGAAUUUUGGACAAUGGGCGCAAGCCUGAUCCAGCAAUGCCGCGUGCAGGAUGAAGGCCUUCGGGUUGUAAACUGCUUUUGUACGGAGCGAAAAGGCUUCCACUAAUACUGGGGGCUCAUGACGGUACCGUAAGAAUAAGCACCGGCUAACUACGUGCCAGCAGCCGCCGUAAAAC